rnacentral:sRNA from 1 species
UCUUCGCGUCUUCAUCGUCGUCGUCGUC